CAGAACGAACGCUGGCGGCAGGCCUAACACAUGCAAGUCGAGCGCGCCUUUCGGGGUGAGCGGCGGACGGGUUAGUAACGCGUGGGAAUAUGCCCUUUGGUACGGAAUAGCCUCUGGAAACGGAGAGUAAUACCGUAUGAGCCCUUCGGGGGAAAGAUUUAUCGCCAAAGGAUUAGCCCGCGUUAGAUUAGGUAGUUGGUGGGGUAAUGGCCUACCAAGCCUACGAUCUAUAGCUGGUUUUAGAGGAUGAUCAGCAACACUGGGACUGAGACACGGCCCAGACUCCUACGGGAGGCAGCAGUGGGGAAUCUUGGACAAUGGGGGCAACCCUGAUCCAGCCAUGCCGCGUGAGUGAUGAAGGCCUUAGGGUCGUAAAGCUCUUUCGCCUGUGAAGAUAAUGACGGUAGCAGGUAAAGAAACCCCGGCUAACUCCGUGCCAGCAGCCGCGGUAAUACGGAGGGGGUUAGCGUUGUUCGGAAUUACUGGGCGUAAAGCGCACGUAGGCGGAUCGGAAAGUUGGGGGUGAAAUCCCGGGGCUCAACCCCGGAACUGCCUCCAAAACUAUCGGUCUAGAGUUCGAGAGAGGUGAGUGGAAUUCCGAGUGUAGAGGUGAAAUUCGUAGAUAUUCGGAGGAACACCAGUGGCGAAGGCGGCUCACUGGCUCGAUA
rnacentral:rRNA from 1 species